rnacentral:lncRNA from 1 species
UCAAGGUCAGUGCCUUCAGUUAGAAGUUACCCUUGAUGCCUCGCUCCAAACCCACAUCCAGUGCAUUAUCCCAUGUGUCUGGCUUUGCUCUCAGUGUAUAACUGAAGUCUAGCCAUGUCUACUUUCUUUCCUCUAGAACCCUCACCCCAUCUCUAUUGUUACCCCCUCCCCCCCCGCAUUGUUCUCUAAUGCCCUUCUGAAGUCUGUUACCCACCUAGCAGUCAGUGAUCAUUUAAAAACUCAAGUCAGUUCAAACAUGCUCAAGCGUAUCCUUUGUCUGUCUCACUUGAAGGAAAAAGCAAACAUCUAAUCAAUGUCUGUGGACUGCGCCAUCCAGCUCCUGGUGACCUCUGGGCUUCUUGAGUUUUUAUUCCCCACCCCAGGUCAUCAGUUGUUGUUUGAUCUCACCAACAUGGCCACCUUGCUUCUCUUCAAAGAUGGUACUAGAUCCGCUCUUCCUUCAGAUCAGUGUUCCAUGCCUGCUACCCUGACUAAAGGGCACACAGCCUCUCAACUUCAGAGAGAAUACUGCUAUGAAAAAAAGAAGAAGGAAAAGGAAGAAAGGAAAACCCAUGCAUGCCCGAGACAAACAUAUGAACAAGGAGAGAGGCAUAUCAAAGUGUGGGCAGUCUUGGAUUCCAGCAAAUGA